AUGGCUGUCCAGGUGCUGCUCCUCUGCCUGGUCACCUUUCCAAGUGUCCUGUCCCAGGUGCUGCUGAAGGUGUCAGGACCUGGCCUGGUGCAGCCCUCACAGACUCUGUCUCUCACCUGCACUGUCUCUGGGUUCUCAUUAACUGACUAUGAUAUUAGCUGGGUUCGCCAGUCUCCAGGAAAGGGUCUGGAGUGGAUGGGAGGUAUAUGGUACAAUGGAAGCACAGAGUAUAAUUCAGCUUACCAGCCCCGAAUCACCAUCAGCAGGGACACCUCCAAGAACCAAGUUUUCUUAAAAUUGAACAGUCUGCAAAGUGAGGACACAGCCACGUACUACUGUACCAAAGACACAAUGAGGGAACUCCCAGGUGAGCCUGCACAAAAACCUCACUGCAAGGACACUCAGAACCAGAAGAGGGUGCUGAAGAUCAGCAGGGACUCCUGA